rnacentral:rRNA from 1 species
AGUCGAACGAUGAACCACUUCGGUGGGGAUUAGUGGCGAACGGGUGAGUAACACGUGGGCAAUCUGCCCUGCACUCUGGGACAAGCCCUGGAAACGGGGUCUAAUACCGGAUACUGACCCUCACGGGCAUCUGUGAGGUUCGAAAGCUCCGGCGGUGCAGGAUGAGCCCGCGGCCUAUCAGCUUGUUGGUGAGGUAAUGGCUCACCAAGGCGACGACGGGUAGCCGGCCUGAGAGGGCGACCGGCCACACUGGGACUGAGACACGGCCCAGACUCCUACGGGAGGCAGCAGUGGGGAAUAUUGCACAAUGGGCGAAAGCCUGAUGCAGCGACGCCGCGUGAGGGAUGACGGCCUUCGGGUUGUAAACCUCUUUCAGCAGGGAAGAAGCGAAAGUGACGGUACCUGCAGAAGAAGCGCCGGCUAACUACGUGCCAGCAGCCGGGGUAAUUCCA